rnacentral:misc_RNA from 1 species
CAUUUUCGUUUUUUUUCCCUCCCGAUUCAUUUGACGAUCUCCCUUGGCAUGGAGGCGCGCUGGAAAUCACCACAAACGCCUUCGGCAUUUGCCCGCGGUGUCGGGCUCGGAACGAGCUUUCCGAAACGUACUCACGGGCCCCGUGAGUCCAUCGGGAUCGAAAUUUAGGCACGUGAACGCAGAGACGCGCGGAUUACGUUUACUGAGAAAUUCUCUUUUUUGUAUUUCGUCGUAUGUAAGUAGCAUUCCGUUAACUGCGCGACGAGUCCUUGAGAGCGGGGAGUUGAACACUCCAGACACUUCUCGAGAGGAGAAAACGAUUCGCUUUCAAGUAAAUAUGCNACGCANGA